rnacentral:rRNA from 1 species
GACGUAGGGCGCGAGCGUUGUCCGGAUUUAUUGGGCGUAAAGAGCUCGUAGGCGGCUUGUUGCGUCGACCGUGAAAACCCGGGGCUCAACUUCGGGCUUGCGGUCGAUACGGGCAGGCUAGAGUUCGGUAGGGGAGACUGGAAUUCCUGGUGUAGCGGUGAAAUGCGCAGAUAUCAGGAGGAACACCGGUGGCGAAGGCGGGUCUCUGGGCCGAUACUGACGCUGAGGAGCGAAAGCGUGGGGAGCGAACAGG